rnacentral:rRNA from 1 species
UGUUACUUAUAAAAAAUAUGUUUUGGACUAGUAAUAAAAAUGAAAUUUAACGGAUUUGGCGGCAAGAUAGCCAUUUAGAGGAACCUGCCCUAUAAACGAUGAACCACGAAUACCUUACUUUCUUUUGAGAUCAGUUUGUAUACCGCUGUUGGCAGUUAGUUUCAUUAGAAAACUUUCGUUAAUAAUAUAAUUAUUGACUUCAAGUAAAGGUGCAGCAAAUAAGAAAGACAGAGGUGGGUUACAUUUAAUUGAAUAAAACGGAUAAAGUUAUGAAAUUACUUUUGAAGGUGGAUUUAAUAGUAAAGUUUAAUAAAACUUGAUGGGAGCUCUGUCUUGU